UCAAAAUUUCCAAAGAUAUGAGGGACCCUUUUGUCUUUGGUUGAAAAACUAUACAAGGAAACUUCAAUUUCUUCUCCUUCUUAUUACCUUUUUCUGUAUAUAUGUUUUUCAUCAAUUGCUCUAAUUCUUUACUUUCAAUAUCACUUCUUGUUGAAGCAAAAAUCAUCAUCAAUGGUAAGAUUAUAUAUUUAUAUAUCUAUAUAUUUAUGUAUAGAUAUAGAUAUAUGUAUGCUAAUUGUGUGCCUGGCUCCCUGUAUGCCAUUUGUGGAGUUCAUCAAGAUGGUGAUGGGUUUAAUGAAUGGCGUACGAGGAGCCAUGCAUGCUUGUGUGUGUAUAUUUUCUAUGUCUUGUACUAGAUCUUGUUUCUAGGUUUCAUGUUCUUAGUAUUAUGUUUUUUUUUUGUGCUUCAAUUAUUUGAUAUCUAACCUUUGGGGAGUUGUUGUAGAUAAUUAAUGGAGUUAGUGUGUCCCUUGAGCUUCCUAGUCAAAGAUGAGUUUGACUUGGUUUGAUUAGAUAGUGGAAAGGUAGGGUUUAUAGGCUAUUUUAUAGAUAACAAAUAAUUUCAGGUAUUGGUGUUAUUAUGAAGUUAAUAUUUUCUAUUUCUUUUUAUUAACUAAUUAUUACAUAAUUGUAGUUUUUUAAUUUAAAAAAUUGAAUGUUGUUUUUGAAAUAAAAUAAAGUGAUUUUUUUUAGGGAAAAAUGAUAAAAUAUAUGUUAGUAAAAUAUAAUUAAAUUUUUCUACAAUAAGAAUGAUAUGACAUUGUUUGUUUGUUUCUUAUGGACAUGAAUAUGACAAUUUUUAAAAAUCAUAUUUAUUACUUAUUUUCUGACUUAUUCAGUCGUCCAUGUUGUAUAAGGAUCAUUAUUACUCUCAAGUGGACGUAGUCACCAAUCCUUUUCAUUGUUCUGUUGUCAAUUUUGUUGUAAAUGAGUAGUUAACAUCUUGGGUGUCACUCAUAUAUGUUUCUGUAUAUAUAUUUGAAAUAAAAAAUAUUAUAUAGUUUAUUUUAUUUAUUGAUAAAAAUGUGUAUGUGGUUGAUAUGGUUAGGAAUGGUUGGGGUAGAUGGUGGAGGUUGAGUUUGGAGAAGAAAUAUUUUUUUAUUAUGGUAAUAUAUAGUUUUGGAAUUAUUUUGUUGUUGUGUUAUUUUAAUGUGCAGAAAGAUUAUCAAAUGUCUACUAUUAAUGAAGGUUUUGCUACAGCUUCAGAGAUCGUCUAGAAUAAUGUAAGUCUUUUGAAGGUGUUAUUUUUACUUGGAAAUUGUUGUAUAGUAUAAUUUUGGAGGUUACAAAUUUGAAGUUUUAUCUUUGUGUAGAAGGCUGUGGGCAUGAAAAGUUAUUUCAACAUUUUUUAUUGGUUGUUUAAUUUGUGUUUUUCAUUGUUAGGUUUGUUGAUAUAAUGCAAUUUUUUUACUAACCUAACACAUAUUUCCAACCUAUUAUCCAAGUACAUUCUAGUGACUACCGAUUCCAUACAGACGAGAUACUAAUAGUCGUUGAGGUCUCAAUUGAUUUUGCUGAGGUGUUGAGAAGAAGUGUGUGUAUGGAUUAGACAGGCUUUGUCGUACUUUCAUGGUUGUUAAAAUCUCGAUUUAAAACCUAAAUUCUAUAGAUUUCACGUCUCUAGGUCAGCAUUUCGUGUUAAAUCGCAGGUAAAAAUCUUUUUAGGUAAAAUCGUAUUUCAGAACGAUUUUACGUGAUUUAAAUCGUUCCCAAAUCGGUAAAAUCGUGUAAAAUCAUGUAAAAUCGCUGAAAUUUACUCCUGAAAUUCGGAACGAUUUGGUGGAUAAUUUAUGUAGUUUGAUACAAGUUUGUGAAUAUUACACUUUAUUAUGAUUAUAUAGUAUUUAUUGCUUUAUAAUUAAGUUAAAAUUUUGAAUAAUUACUGCAUUUAUAAUAUUAUACAAGUAUACAUAUGUCGUAUAUAUAAAUUUUAUAAUUUUAAUAUGAGGUAAACUCUAUGAUUUUACGUUUCGAUUUACGUUUUGAUUUUACCUAGGUAAAAUGAGUCAAGGUAAAAACUCGAUUCUGACAACCUUGCGUACUUUAAUUUGUUGCCAACACGUUCAAAGUUUGAUUGUAUUAUGGUUUGGGUUGAUAUGGUAAUCGUUGGGUAGUAGCAAGUUUUGGUUGAGUAUGGGUGGGUUUGGUAUGAAUGUUUGGCCGGGAUAAAAAUGAAAUUGUUUUUAUGGGUUUUGAAAGUUUAUGUUUGGCUUAAGUAAUUCUUGUGUGUAUUGUUAUGAGUAUGGGUUGCUGGCUAAUGUUUGUUGAUGGGAGUAAAGGGUAUACUCUUGUUUUUGUUAUUGAGUGUUUGACUUAAGUAAUUCUUGUGCGAAUUGUUAUGAGUAUGGGUUAGUGGUUAAUGUUUGUUGUUGGUAGUAAAGGGUAUACUCUUGAUUUUAUGAUUGAGUGUUUGACAUGUGUUUGUUUUGGGCGUUAACAAAAGGUUGUUGUGAGGUUUGGUAA